AGAGCCUCUAGGCUUUGUGCAAAGAGUGCCCGUGUCUACUCGAGUAUCAGGAGCCUCUAGGCUUGGUGCGAAGAGUGCCCGGGUCUACUCGAGUAUCAGGAGCCUCUAGGCUUGGUGCGAAGAGUGCCCGGGUCUACUCGAGUAACAGGAGCCUCUAGACUUGAUGCAAAGAGUGCCCGAGUCUAUUCGAGUACCAGGAGCCUCUAGGCUUGGUGCAAAGAGUGCCCGAGUCUACUCGAGUACCAGGAGCCUCUAGGCUUGGUGCGAAGAGUGCCCGAUUCUACUCGAGUAUCACGUACCUUUAAGUUUGGUGCAAAGAGUGCCCGAUUCUGUUCGAGUACCGUCAUGGAAACUUUUAUAUAGGAGCGAAAAUCGUAUGUCACUUCAUAGUAGAGGCGGCUGAUGGUUGCGACAAUGCCUUGCGGAGCUGUACUGCUGCGAGGUGUCUUUCGGAAUCAAGCAAAGGCGCCGGUGGAGCGUACAGAUCAUGUUUCGUUCGGAACUGAAUAGUGCGGUGCAGUGCUCUGAGCAAGAGCGCUUCACCUGGUGAUACUGCGUGCCCCCGUUUGGUGUCGGUAACCGUAGACCGGGAGGUGCUGACUCGCCGGCACUCGAGCCAGACCUACGCGCCUGUCGUGAAUGUGCAUCCUCAGCCAGAUAGACGCCAGCGCAUCACGCAGCGUGUCCGAAGGAGCCGUGCUGCCCUGGAGCUCUCAGUGCAGUACGCGCUUGGCCAUAUAAGCGUAUUGUUUUGCCGCGGGGCUCUCUGCGGAAAGACUCUCAGCAAAGUUGCGAACAACGUGCACAAAGCCAUCGCUGGAGCACAUGAUCGAGCCGAACACCCUUCGGUAGCCUCAUAUGGCGCUCACUGGCACUUGUCGAAAGUGCCUAGUCAAUGACCAUAUGAAGACCUUGCGGGUAUGAAUCGAAAGCAUGUUCGUUUGCUCUGUGUUGCAGGAGCUCUUCAGGGCAACUCAGCUGCGAUGCGUUCAAGGGCUGGUAACUGGUGCCUCGAUGGGCGACCAGCAAGCUUCACCGCUUCUAGAGAGAGAACGCCCCCGACAGAUCUUUCAUGUGUUCAUCGAAAAUUCCGGAUCUUUUGGCUUCACUCGUUGCGAUAUCGAUGGAUGAAUGCCUGACACCUGCUUAUGGUGAAGAGUAUCUUGCACAGCACACGACAAACAACGCGGCAACAACCUCUUCACACACCCUUCUCCGUUAAACUGAAACACGUCGCACCGAGUGGACGCAUCCGUGAACGUCGAGCGCCGAGACACGAGGUCUGCCGCACGGCGUCCCGAAUCGCGACUUGCCUUUAGGAGCAUGCCGAACAGCGCAUCAUCAAAUAGCUGCUAAGAGGUCUAAGUUUCAAAACAAGAGCACUGACCAGCUGUCCUGGGUCGUUGCCGAUGCCAUACAGCGUGCUAUCGCUAUCACCUGUGACCAGUGACUGUUAUUGCAUUAGUGAGCGCGUCGACGCGUUGGCCGCACUUCUGCCCAGCAUACAUGCCCUAUUGGGCCGUUUAUAAUCAUAGCGAUGCACAGCUCCUAUGCGAGUAAUCCUCGCAAGUGCUCAUCUAAACUUGAUGGAUAAACACCAGGGGUCUGGAGCCGACUCGAAUCCGCGCGCACCA
rnacentral:misc_RNA from 1 species